rnacentral:tRNA from 1 species
UAUUUUUCUAGUAUAAAAAGUAUAGCUGACUUCCAAUCAGCAGGUCUGGACUACCAGGAAAAAUAA